rnacentral:rRNA from 1 species
GUACACGCUGUGACUAGCAUAUCAAUAAGCGGAGGAAAAGAAACUAACAAGGAUUCCCCUAGUAACGGCGAGUGAAGCGGGAAGAGCUCAAAUUUGAAAUCUUAAAGGGUUUCCCUUUACGAAUUGUAGUUUAAAGAAGUGUUUUCUGUUGAGGUUUUGGUAAAAGUUCUUUGGAAUAGGACAUCAUAGAGGGUGAGAAUCCCGUAUUUGACCUUUACUUUCAACUUUGUGAUACACUUUCAAAGAGUCGGAUUGUUUGGGAAUGCAGUCCAAAAUGGGUGGUAAAUUUCAUCUAAAGCUAAAUAUUGGCGAGAGACCGAUAGCGAACAAGUACCGUGAGGGAAAGAUGAAAAGAACUUUGAAAAGAGAGUUAAACAGUACGUGAAAUUGUCAAAAGGGAAGCGUUUGACACCAGUGUUGUUUUUCUGAAAAUCAAUUAAAGAACUGUUUAUGCUAAGCUGUUUAGACUUUAUCAGCUAAUCUGUUUAGUUUUGAGCUUUUCUUUAAUGCACUUUUCAGUUAACAAGUCAACAUCAAUUUCUUUUGCUGUAAAAAAGCUUGAGGAAGGUGGCUUGAGAUUCGUCUUAAGUGUUUAUAGCCUCUUGCCUAUGCAGUCGGAGAGAUUGAGGUCUGCAGCGUAGAUCCUUCGGGGCUAAAUGCAUUUGUGCUAAGUUAUAGCAUUUUAUAGACAACUUGUUGACUAUGAUUUGUCUUGUAGCUUACUCGCUUAUGUUAUUUUACCUACGCUUAGGAUGUUGAAGAUGUAGCACAUCAU